AGGUGAUGCAUGUGCAGUACCAAAUGAUGACACACUGGCAGGAAAACCAGAUGAGAAAGCCAGUGAACACCAUUCUCCGAAAUCUGAAUGCAUCAUUGCAUCUAUUGGAAGUCCCACCCAGGUGAUAAAAGUUAAGGAUACAUUUGGAACUUGGAUGAAAGAAUCAGUAAAUAAGAGUGAUGAACGAAUUUGGGUGACUGAACAUUUCUCAGGCUUCAUUGUGAAAGAAUUUAAGGACCAAGUCUCCCUUCUGAACAACAGUUAUAGGCCCAUCCAUCUCAGGUAUCUUUACCACGGCUGUGGGCAUGCUGUCUAUAACAACUACCUCUACUAUAACAAAGGAGGCUCCAAUAUCAUUGUGAGGU